GCGGAGGAAAAGAAACCAACAGGGAUUGCCCCAGUAACGGCGAGUGAAGCGGCAAAAGCUCAAAUUUGAAAUCCUGCGGGAAUUGUAAUUUGAAGGUUUCGUGGUCUGAGUCGGCCGCGCCCAAGUCCAUUGGAACAUGGCGCCUGGGAGGGUGAGAGCCCCGUAUGGCGCACGCCGACUCUUUGCACCGCGGCUCCGACGAGUCGAGUUGUUUGGGAAUGCAGCUCUAAGUGGGUGGUAAAUUCCAUCUAAAGCUAAAUAUUGGCGAGAGACCGAUAGCGAACAAGUACAGUGAUGGAAAGAUGAAAAGCACUUUGAAAAGAGAGUGAAACAGCACGUGAAAUUGUUGAAAGGGAAGGGCUUGCAAGCAGACACGGUUUUACCGGGCCAGCGUCGAAAAGGGGGGAGGAACAAGAACUCGAGAAUGUGGCGCGCACCUUCGGGCGCGCGUGUUAUAGCUCGUGUUGACGCCUCCAUCCCUUUUCGAGGCCUGCGAUUCUAGGACGCUGGCGUAAUGGUUGCAAGCCGCCCGUCU
rnacentral:rRNA from 1 species